rnacentral:rRNA from 2 species
CUAGUAACGGCGAGUGAAGCGGCAACAGCUCAAAUUUGAAAUCUGGCCUUCGGGUCCGAGUUGUAAUUUGUAGAGGAUGCUUUUGGCGCGGUGCCUUCCGAGUUCCCUGGAACGGGACGCCUUAGAGGGUGAGAGCCCCGUUCGGUUGGACACCAAGCCUUUGUAAAGCUCCUUCGACGAGUCGAGUAGUUUGGGAAUGCUGCUCUAAAUGGGAGGUAAAUUUCUUCUAAAGCUAAAUAUUGGCCAGAGACCGAUAGCGCACAAGUAGAGUGAUCGAAAGAUGAAAAGCACUUUGAAAAGAGGGUUAAAUAGCACGUGAAAUUGUUGAAAGGGAAGCGUUUGCGACCAGACCUUUUCUUGGCGGAUCAUCCGGUGUUUAUCACCGGUGCACUUCGCCAAGUUGAGGCCAGCAUCGGUUUUUGUAGGGGGAUAAAAGCCUAGGGAAUGUAGCUCCUUCGGGAGUGUUAUAGCCCCUCGCAUAAUACCCUUACGGGGACCGAGGACCGCG